AUACGGAAGGUCCGGGCGUUAUCCGGAUUUAUUGGGUUUAAAGGGAGCGCAGGCGGAGAUGCAAGCGUGACGUCAAAUUUCGGGGCUCAACCCCGUCUCGCGUCGCGAACUGCGUCCCUUGGUUGCGGGAAGGGGAGGCGGAACUCGUGGUGUAGCGGUGAAAUGCAUAGAUAUCACGAAGAACUCCGAUCGCGAAGGCAGCCUUCCGGCCCGUCAACGACGCUCAUGCUCGAAGGUGCGGGUAUCAAACAGGAUUAGAUACCCUGGUAGUCCGCACAGUAAACGAUGGACACCCGCGGUUUGGCCUAUAUGGCUGAGCCGCCAAGCGAAAGCGUUAAGUGCCCCACCUGGGGAGUACGCCGGCAACGGUGAAACUCAAAGGAAUUGGCGGGG
rnacentral:rRNA from 1 species